UCCCAGGUGGCUCAGUGGUAAAGCGUCCAUUUGCCAACGUGGGAGACCUGGGUUCGAUCCCUGGGUUGGGAA
rnacentral:tRNA from 1 species